UACGAAGGGGGCAAGCGUUACUCGGAAUUACUGGGCGUAAAGCGUGCGUAGGGGGUUCGUUAAGUCUGAUGUGAAAGCCCUGGGCUCAACCUGGGAAUUGCAUUGGAUACUGGCGGGCUAGAGUGCGGUAGAGGAUGGCGGAAUUCCCGGUGUAGCAGUGAAAUGCGUAGAGAUCGGGAGGAACAUCUGUGGCGAAGGCGGCCAUCUGGACCAGCACUGACACUGAGGCACGAAAGCGUGGGGAGCAAACAGG
rnacentral:rRNA from 1 species